rnacentral:rRNA from 1 species
UAAACGGGGUGAGGGGGCAACCCUCAUUCAUAUGGCGAACGGGUGAGUAAUGCAUCGGAACGUGUCCCGCAGUGGGGGAUAACUCGGCGAAAGCCGAGCUAAUACCGCAUACGCUCUGCGGAGGAAAGCGGGGGACCCGAAAGGGCCUCGUGCUAUGGGGGCGGCCGAUGUCCGAUUAGCUGGUUGGUGGGGUAAUGGCCUACCAAGGCGACGAUCGGUAGCUGGUCUGAGAGGAUGAUCAGCCACACUGGGACUGAGACACGGCCCAGACUCCUACGGGAGGCAGCAGUGGGGAAUUUUGGACAAUGGGGGCAACCCUGAUCCAGCCAUGCCGCGUGCGGGAAGAAGGCCUUCGGGUUGUAAACCGCUUUUAGCCGGGACGAAAACUGUACGGAUAACACCCGUGCAGGUUGACGGUACCGGCGGAAUAAGCACCGGCUAACUACGUGCCAGCAGCCGCGGUAAUACGUAGGGUGCGAGCGUUAAUCGGAAUUACUGGGCGUAAAGCGUGCGCAGGCGGUUCGUUGUGUCGGCGGUGAAAGCCCCGGGACUUACCUGGGAAUGGCCGUUGAAACUGGCGAA